UUCUUAUCACAAUACUUAAAGCAGUACUGAUUAUUUUUGGUAACACCUCAAUUAUAAUCACCUUUAAACAAUAAACUGCAAAGCCUCCACGGUUCAUGGUACACUUUGAUAUUAGUGGAUAGAAAAAUUUAUUUGAUGCAGUAUUUAUCCAGAACUUGCCUUUGAUAUAGAAUUUGCUGAAACUAGCGCAUCGUAUCCAUUGUAAAAGCACUUAUACGCAUUAAUCUCAUUACCUGAAGACGACGUUCUUCCCUGGACACAAAAGUAUUCGAAAUAAAAAUAAAGUAAACGCGUGAUUGAACUGUAAAUGUUUUUUUUUUUUAUAAUUGCUUUAGUAUUUUAAUUAUUCAAACAAUAUUUUAAUUAUUAAUUUGCAAACAAUUCGAUUGAAUUAUUAUUUUGAAUUUUAAGCGGUUUCCUGCAUAACAGCAGUAGUAUCGUUUAUUAUUUAUUAGAUCUUUUAAAAAAAAAUACAGCCUUUGAAAACGACUUUUGGAAACGCGUUGUAUCAGCAAACUCCGUAAAUACUUUAUGUGAAGAGAACUCGACGUUCAAGUACAUUUAGAAUAUUACAAAUCACUUGAAGAAGAUCGAUACUUUGUUGCCAUUUAUACUCAUGCUGUAACCUGAUUUGUUUACUAUAACGAAAGCCAACGGCUUUUUAUAAAUAUCUUCUGGCUCGCCUUAAGUGCUGUUAUUUUCUGUAAACAAAAUUAUAAUGGGUAUCGAUUUCGGUAACACAAAUAAAAUAUACUUUACAGUUUUUCAAAAAGUGGUUAUGCACAUUUACUGGUGGUUGUGCAUAUUUAUUUCUUAUUUAAAGGGUAGAACAUCAGUUGUUACCUUAUUUGAGACUACUGACUACCUCACGCCUCUGGCCGGCUUAAUAUAAUAUCAGUAAUAGCUAAAUUUGAAAAAAAUUAUACACCUACAUGUGUAACACUAAAUCAAGAUUUAAUUGUUUAUCACCAUCAAAUUAACUGCAGAACUUUCAUAAGUAUAGUCUACAAUGCGACUGCACGGUCAUAAAUUAUAGGAAAUUGGUACCAAAAGUACUUGAUCGAUGUCUGUAAAGACAGAUAAAUCAGUAAAACGCACGAAGGAAACUCGUGUUUAAUACUCGUAAAUUGUACUCAAUUUAAAAUUCGAACUAAAUACAAGCAAUAAACAAGUAUUCGUAUAUCACGCAAAUAUUUCAAAGGUCGCGUACAGCACGAUACUAUCCAAGUUAUUUAUUAUGAAUAGUAAUAAUGUAAAAAUCCUUUAAAAGAUAUAACCCUAUGCAGAACGGCAUAAAUAGUAGUGCGUCUGUUGUCGAGUAGAGACGAAUCGGGAUCAGUGUAAUUAAACGACUAUACUUUGGUUCAACCCUAUAACGCGUACCGAUUAUCUCCUAAAUUAUUAUGCACUCAUUGUUGCAUUCACUCAAGACUUCCACUAUGAAUAUUAUAGUGUAAUAAAAAUCAAAUCACUAAACUCUAUAAAUAAAAGCAAAUAAUUUUUGGUUGUAGAACUCGUUUUGACGCAUGUCGCAUGUGAUAUAGUAAAUAUAAAAUCAACGAAUAAUCCUAUAUUCAAUGAAUGUUUUAAAAUGUAGUAAAAAUAUAUUUUACCCAAUACGAGACGAAAAAUGACUUAGUUUUAUUACGAUGAUACACUUAAUUGUUGUCAGAAGUCUAACAAAAAAUGUUACUUACUAAAAAAUACCUUAAAAUUGUAUAGCUUACAUAAGAACCGAAAUUUUAAACCAUAAAUUAACGCAUGUCUGUUUCGCGACAGGAACAGAUAGGAAGGGGCACAUACCUAUACGGGCUCGUGAACGUGUGUUAAGUGCGUACAUACAUCCCUAGGAAUUUGAAAACCGGCAUAGUCGGACCGCUUAAAAAAAUUACACCGAGCGUCUUAUACUUUAGACCACGGCGAUUUAAAAAUUUAAAAAAUUGAUCAUAUUUGCAACAGUGUAGUAAAAAAUUCCGACGGUAAUCAGUAAUCAGCUUAAAAAAAUGACACCGAGCGUCUUAUACUUUAGGCUACGGCGACUUCAAAAUUGACCUUAUUUGCAAGUGUAGUAAAAAAUACCGACGGUAAUCAGUAAUCAGUCUCCCACUAAGUUGACGUGAGUCGGCUACGCCUGGACGGGUAGUUAAGCUCAUAUGCUGGACCUGAGAGAAUUUCCUAACAAGAGCCCUAGCAAGAGCAGUGCUUUGCAGAAUCUAUCACCGGAUCGGAAUCGCGACCCACUGAGAAAAUCCGGCGAGAAACUUAGUGAGCUGCAUCUAUGGAUUAGGAAGAACUUGUCUUACAUCGUCAAACAAAUCAUUACAUACUAUUAGCUGAAUACAUUUUUAUUGCCUCGAUGAUCUAGUCGCUAUACUUUGUAAUAGCACUGCACCACAUACGAAGGACCGAGCAAAAAAAUAAGCUUCCAAAACUAGAUUUCACAUUUUCUUUUUAUAUAGAAAAUUUUAAAUAGAAAAUAAAUAAUUACUGCGUAUAUGGCUUAGGAAAUUAUUAUCAUUAUUAUUAUUGAACGUAUGUACAUAUAUUCACACAUAUAUCGAUUAAAUUAUUUAACUCCGCCAGUAUAUGUUGUAUAGUACUUUACAACGCGUAGUUACGGCCGGUCUGUGCUCGGUCACACCCUACUGCUGAGGGUAUUGCCCUAAACAAAUUUACUUAUAGAACGACACCUGCAGGCGGCCUAUUAACCAAGGUAAAAAACUAAUAAAAAAGUUUUAAAUUGCGAAAUAAAACCUUUUUUUACGUACUAAACGUACACGUAUUUUAAAUAUAAAGUAUUUUUGUUACACAUCAGUAAUACAUAAAUUUCAUAAAUAAUAUUGGAGUAGAAAUUGAAAUAUUUUUGUUGUGUCUGCAAUAUUAAAUUUAGAUGGUAGUUUGUCUAGCAAUGUUUUGUUGAACUGUUUGCUCCAUGCUCGUGGCGUGCUUUUUAUGAUGUAGAGAACACGAACGGCCUUCAUGCUUAAUGGGCGGAUGACCGCCGGCCGAGCGCGCGCAACAUCGCUGACUUUCACCUGUGAACGCUGUUUUGUAUAAACAUAACUUUAAACACUAUUUUUAUAUUAUUGUUUUAUGGCGAAUCUUUCAACAAACUGUCACUCAUUGAAAUUCCAUUUCAUGCGUACAUCAUUAUUUAUGUGAACCAUUAAACAUUGUCGUCUUACCGGAGAUUUUGUUUGUUCAUUCGUGUGUUGUCCUUUGUUUAAUGCAUGCACGAAUUGUUUUGGUUUCGGCAAAAAGACAAAGAAUAAAUCAAUUAAAUCAUGAUUAUUUUCUUUAUAAUAAAAUAAAAUAACUAAAUCCUUUAUCUAACAAGCAUGGAAA